GGAUCCCGACAUCUGCUUAGCCGGUGCCGGUGCCGACGAGCCACCGUAAGAUGAAGACAUGGGCCUAGCAGGAGCUGCAGCCGGUCGUCCGUAACUCUGUGCCUACUGACCUACUGCGUCUCCCAGAACGGCGAUGGAUAUAUAUAUAAUGUAGGACCUCCAUAAAGCGAAACCGAACUGGCAAAUGUAAUACCGCUGUCAUCUUUCUUUCGCUGCCCAGCAGCGGGUCCGAGAGUGAAAGUCCGACAUCAUUGACACGGUCCGCAGUCUGCAUUGCCGCCACUUCAAAAGAUGGAACUCUUUUUGCGCCGCCUUUCUUCUUUUGCUACAUCUCUCCCGAUAUUCUAUAAAUAGUCAGAGUUACUCCAUCGAUGAUGAAACUAUUUUUCUGGAUGGCCUAUACAAUCAACCCCGAAGUUGCGAGCCUUCAACACUCUGGAAAAAGAGAGAAAUUCGAAUAAUUCAGCGCGGGUAGUUUGAAUUGUUAUUUUAUUUAUUCGUUUGGGCUUGGAAUGAUUAUGAAUGUUCGGGUCGUCGUCAAUGCAUCAGCAUGCUCUUUUCACGUGGCUCCUGCUCGUCUGAUUGGUAAUAAAAAUAAGCUGGAAAUAG